AUGAAGACACAUGGACUCUCUCUCAUCUUCAUCUCUGUGGCCCUUAUUUUCACUGGUCUGCUUUGGAUUGAUUCUGUGACUGACAGUCUGCUAUUGGACCCCCGCUGUGAUGACAUCUGGUUAUUUCCUGUAUGUCCCUUGACCAUACCUCAGCUGUGUACUUCACAGGGUCCAUCAUAU